rnacentral:rRNA from 1 species
UGGGGAAUAUUGCACAAUGGGCGAAAGCCUGAUGCAGCGACGCCGCGUGCGGGAUGAAGGCCUUCGGGUUGUAAACCGCUUUUAAUUGGGAGCAAGCGAGAGUGAGUGUACCUUUUGAAUAAGCACCGGCUAACUACGUGCCAGCAGCCGCGGUAAUACGUAGGGUGCAAGCGUUAUCCGGAAUUAUUGGGCGUAAAGAGCUCGUAGGCGGUUUGUCACGCCUGGUGUGAAAGUCCAUCGCUUAACGGUGGAUCUGCGCCGGGUACGGGCAGGCUAGAGUGCAGUAGGGGAGAUUGGAAUUCCCGGUGUAACGGUGGAAUGUGUAGAUAUCGGGAAGAACACCAAUGGCGAAGGCAGAUCUCUGGGCUGUUACUGACGCUGAGGAGCGAAAGCAUGGGGAGCGAACAGGAUUAGAUACCCUGGUAGUCCAUGCCGUAAAACGGUGGAUGCUGGAUGUGGGACCCUUCCACGGGUUCCGUGUCGGAGCUAACGCGUUAAGCAUCCCGCCUGGGGAGUACGGCCGCAAGGCUAAAAAC